ensembl:snRNA U2 U2 spliceosomal RNA
AUUGCUUCUCAGCCUUUUGACUAAGAUCAAGUGUAGUAUCUGUUCUUAUAGGUUUAAAACCAUGGUGAGGUUUCACCUCACUCUAGUUAGAAUGGCUCUCAUACAACAAUU